UUUCUGUUCAUUAUGUUCUUCACUGCCAUUUUCAAAAGUGUUUUAAAGUGACAUGAUGGUAACACUUAAACUAUAAUGACAAAUGCUUGGCUGUCUACUCUAACUUCCAAUGCUCGUACAUGCUCUGUUUUCAGUUUCUCCCUGUAUUGCCCAUUGAUGUGGUUACUUUAUUGGCAGGAGUUUACUAUUAUAAAAAGGCUACAGGAUGACUAUUGUAUCUCAGUAUCAGAAAGGAAGUGAUGCUUCGACUUCUGCUGAAAGAAAAAGCAGCAGAUAAAUUAACAAUAAUAAAAAUAAAAACAAUUUGUUUCCAGCUCCUAUCUACAACAUCAGUUUCAAGUUUUGCUGAAGCACUGGGGAUUGAUAGCGAGUACAUCUGGAAUGAAAUGGAGGGAGGCUGAGAUGUUGGGCUGCCGUAACUUCCAUCAUCAUCUCUCCACUGUUGUGUGUGAGUACCAGAAGGGUGCAGCAGAGGAGGGUAUCCAGAGAAACUCUUUAGAAACCUGAGUUAGAAAUCCAGGUAUAUGGUGCAAUCCUCUGCCUUUUUUGUCUGGUCUUAACCACUGCUGGAGAAUUUCUAUGAAAAUUUGGGCAUUCUGCAACACUAGAUGCCAUAUUCUGCAAAGGGACACAGAACUGUGCUAUUGCCCUUUGUUAAGCAGAGCUUCCUUAUCCACGUGCCUGGACUGGGGCUUUGCUACCAACCCCAAACGGCAUGAGAAGUAAGGGAUCCCAGCAGAACUGAAGCAGAAACCAAGCACUGGUCCACAACGGUUUAUUAAAUUCCUUCCUUCAAAGAGUGUUGAGACCUUGCACGGAUGUGCUGCACAGAGUUUUACACGUCCUGUGCCCACCUGCGUCUCUGUACUGAAUAUUGUUCUGCCAUGCCUGGUGAUGUGGCCCAGUUAUUUCUAAUUAUUCUACCUGAAAGCAAUUUGCCUUGCAGAAAGAUCAGAAAAAGCAUACGCUGGAGAGAUUCAGUUACUGAGUGCAGGCUCCUGCUGAGCCAAUACUCUUUUAAUUUGGAAUUAUCAGAGAAGAUGGGACUCCAACAUGAAUUCUUGUCUUUAAAAUACCAAAAUGAGCAAGAAAUCACACCCUUUAAGUGUUCAAGGCUUUUUAAUGAUGAUGAAGGUCAAAGACAAACUGCAGACUUGUGAAAGUGAGGAGGUGUCAGAGACUAAUGCAAUUCUUUUCUCAACUGCAGUGAGUGGACUGAAGGUUAGAGCAGGAGAAUGGGGGAGAAUGCAGACGGGCUAUCCGAUGCUGCAAGGAAAAGGAGAGCCCGCAGUCUGUAGUAACACACAGCACAUUCCCAAGCAUUGCUUCAUCACUUUAUUAUAUCUCAGACAGCACAAGAAUGAUCCUUGUGCAGCAAUUAAAGGGAAUACAAAAAAAGGAAACGUGGCUUUAGAGAAAGGGGCUUUGUGACACGAUGGUGCUGGGACGAGCAACUUCUCUUUGAUUACUGACUCCAGCUGGGAGAGUGGGAGAAGAGAGGGAAGCAGGUGGCUCCUGAGAGGGUCCACCUGGAAGAAGGCUAUAGAAGGGCGGCUGUUCUGCCUUGCUAGUCCUGGAGUUAGGAGAGGACAGAAAGUAAAAGGCUGAGGAUUGCUAUUUUUUUUGUUUGUUUGUUUGUUUGUUUUGUUUUGAAAUGUAGGGAUGUUUGCUUGAUUGUUUUUUGUUUGUUUUGAGCUAAUAAUUGCUCCCAGAAAAGAAAGUGUAGUCGUGGAGGGUACUGGAAAAGUCCUGGUCACUGCAUUGGGCUCUUCUGGGUGACUAAAUACCAUGCUAGCUCAUACUAGAAAAAUAACAAAGGAAAUACCUUAGCAAGUUCUUACUGCCUGUUUAAGUAUGCUGCUGGUUUGUGCCCAGUUAGAAGAGAACUUUAAGGAUAAAAGUUCUGUAUUCUUUCUCUUUGAAAGAACCCAGACCCAGCAAAAAUGGGUAUUUCUAGUUGUUUUUGCUAAAUCGCUGAUGUCAAUGGUCUUGGGCUUGUGUGGCCAGGAACCAGCAUAAUUUGCAUGUACAUGAAUUCAGUAAUGCUUCACGGUAACUGAGGAGUUCUUGAUUUUUUUCCUUCUAAAAUCAAGCAGAGGGAUAAUAUACUGGCAGGAGGGAAAGGGAGGAAUUCAUUUGCGGGGGCUCACUAGUCUCAAGAUAGAUCUUUGCAAAGCUUGGGAAAAUAGCUUUUUGUGGCUCUGCUGAGUUCAUGUUUAAUUACUUAGCUAGAUAUGACCUUGCACAACUUCUAUAAUACAAGGGACUAGGAGAUCUUUUGUGGUAAACAGAGCCCAUAAUAACUCUGUUCUCUAAUCUCUGUUUCUCUAGUGAUGCCACCCUUUAUAAAACUAUAUAUAACCUUGAAGCACCUAAUUGAGGAAAGGCUUUGUGAGGGGAUAAAAACAUUUGAGUUGCAGGAAGUAAUUACACCGGAACAGUGUUACUUGUCUUUUUAUUGCUACGUACGAAUACUGUUAUCGGAAAACUCAUUUCUAGUCAUGUAUUCUUCGGGCUGGCAGUUAUUAUACAGUUGGCCACUGGCAGGAAAUGCCUAAGAGCUUGAACAGAGAGAUGUUAUUUAGUUGUAAUUUUAACACAGUUCGGGAAGUGCGCUGCUGUUUGUUUGCGGUUUUCUUGCAUGCACCUGGGAAUGUGGAAUGUAUAAAAGCAUUCCCAAAGCAACACAAGUGUGUGUGGCACCUCAGAAAAGCCUACGAGAGUCCCAUAUGACUGCACAAGGUAAUGUAAGAGGGAACUUCUGAUAUGGAAAGGAGGGAGGAUAGUUGCGUGCACACACAUAAAAGAAGUUCUGAAACAGAAGCUUUUACUUAAACAUCAUAGAUUUGCCUUGAAUAUUGACUGCAUGGUGCUCUGCUUAGACCUCUGCAUCCUGCUUGUACAAAAUUUCUACAGGUUCUGUGAGGAAUUCGUUCAAGCCUAAUGACACUGUGUCCUAAAGGAGAAACUCUGGACUGGUGGAUUGGAUGGCUGAAGGGGCCAAGCAGCAGUUGAAAGCUUUCCACCUGAGCGCCUGAUUCAGGUGCUCCACAGAAAGCUAUUGCUCCUGGCAGGCUUUGCAGCAUGCUAUAGGAAAUGGAUCUGGGACUUUCAUUCAGUACCUGAUGGGGAAGUGCCUGGGCAAGUCCAUACCAUGUCAGUGAGAUGAAAUGAUCUCCUUUCAUUGCAACUGAAAUCAGGGACAGGUUCACGGGAGGUAAUCAUUCAAGAAAGAAGCUAUCAAUAAUAUUUAUGAAAAAUGGAGCCUAAUGGUUGUCGGAUGCCAUUUUAUAACAUGACCAGCUUGUGUCUGCCUUGUGGAACCAGGGAGGACUUCCCAGGCAUGGUCUGACUCCAUGCUGGAACAAGGUCAAGUCUAACAAGUCAGAUUCUCUUGAGAGCAGGCUGAACUCUCUUUUUGGAAAUAUCCUGGUCUAAAGUUAAGUCCUUUCUUUGCAGGCAAUCAUAGAACCAUUCUUCAAAGCAUCCAAAGUCACUGAAAGAUGACAAAAAUAUGAAGACUGUAAGCAGAUUGAUUUCUGAAGGCUUGCAGUAUAGAAGAAGCUGAAAAUGGACAUGAGAGAGAACAAGAGGAAAUGCAACAUGGUGCUUUCAAAACUAAUCAGUCGGGAGAAUUAUUGCAAACCUAGAUUUUUACAGGGAGGAAACUGCACAGAAAGCAGUAAUGACUGAAAUGACCCAGAGAUGACAGUGUAUAUAAAAAUGAGUGACUCAGGAAGAAGGGAGACUGAAUAAUGUGCAGGAUUCAAGCAGCAGCAGUAUUUGUGUAUAAGAAUGACUCCUCAACAAGCAUGUAAAAGACUGUCAUGGUUACCUCCCAUGGAUCUUUUCUAUCUAGCUGUGGCUGUGGACGGUGCGGAGCGUGGUGUCACCUUUCCUAUCACAGGAAGAAGGACCAGGACAUAAACUAACAGCUGUCAGGGAAGGGCUGUGACCUAGACCUUACAUUAAAAGCUCUUCAGAAGGCAACAGCAUCAAGCAUGCUGUGGGAACAAAUAUUGUGAUGCAGCUCAAUGUCACUGGGAAGCAAGUUCAUCAGGAAAUCAGCUGUCCUGAAAUCUAUAGCAAUCCUGGAAGCUUGCCACUGUAUCUGGUCUCUUGCAACAGGACUGCCCUGAAUCCACACAAGAAAGCCUGGGCUCUUUGGGAGCUGUAACUCAGACAGAGAACACUGGUCACAAAUAGAGGAUCCACAACUUUUGAAGGAUCUGAUCCAGUGGAUACAGCAAGUCUUAAAGAAUCUUUGCAUCAGGCCUCUGUUAAGUUGCAGCUUGUGUUGCAGAACCUACAGCUGGCCCAAGCCCUCAACUCCCCCUGUUCUGCUUCCUCAAACAAAGAGCUUUGAAAAGUGUGAAGCACUGCCAGACCUGAUUGUGUUACAGCUUACACACACCUGGAACUAAAAG